rnacentral:rRNA from 1 species
AUGGAGGCAACUCUGAACCAGCCAUGCCGCGUGCAGGAUGACGGUCCUAUGGAUUGUAAACUGCUUUUGUACAGGAAGAAACCUCCCUACGAGUAGGGACUUGACGGUACUGUAAGAAUAAGGAUCGGCUAACUCCGUGCCAGCAGCCGCGGUAAUACGGAGGAUCCGAGCGUUAUCCGGAAUUAUUGGGUUUAAAGGGUUCGUAGCGGCUGUUGUAAGUCAGUGGUGAAAUUUCCUAGCUUAACUAGGACACUGCCAUUGAUACUGCAGAGCUUGAAUAAUAUGGAAGUAACUAGAAUAUGUAGUGUAGCGGUGAAAUGCUUAGAUAUUACAUGGAAUACCAAUUGCGAAGGCAGGUUACUACGUAUUUAUUGACGCUGAUGAACGAAAGCGUGGGGAGCGAACAGGAUUAGAUACCCUGGUAGUCCACGCCGUAAACGAUGGAUACUAGCUGUUCGGUUUUCGGACUGAGUGGCUAAGCGAAAGUGAUAAGUAUCCCACCUGGGGAGUACGUUCGCAAGAAUGAAACUCAAAGGAAU